UGAAAUGCGAUAACUAGUGUGAAUUGCAUUAUCUCGUGAAUCAUCGAGUCUUUGAACGCACCUUGCACCUCUCAGGUCUCCUGGAAGGUAUACUUGUUUGAGUAUCAUAAACACUGCUCCUCUCUCUCGCAGAGAGGGAAUUGAGGCGCCAAGUGCUGCACCCAGUGCGCGCCUGUGCCUUUUAAUUGACAUGCUGCGCGAGUCUGCACGCCCUUGCCGGCGGUGCCGAGACCUGCACACCAAAUGUGAGAUAGACAUCGCACAGAGUCGUGUGUGGGUUCAUUGCGCAGCUACACGCAGCAGCUGGUAGAGUCUAUCUCUCUCUGCCACUACUACCCCUAUGAUAAUCGUGAUCUCAAAUCAAGUAAGACUACCCGCUGAACUUAA
rnacentral:misc_RNA from 1 species